UAGGCCAUGUAAGAUGAAGUAUGAAGUAAGUUGAAGAGAUUGGCGAAAGAAUGAAGUAAAACCGUUAAGAAUUAAGAAAGUUAUGGGGUCCGAAAGAUGGUUCGAAAAAAAUGUCCGAGACGGUAGGAAAAUAAUCUUAUUUUUGGUCAAAUUUUGGAGAUCCGACGGCAUGCAAAAAGAGACGGAACGAGGCGUGUGAGUAGUGAACCAAAAACUAGGCCGUGAGGUGAAUCCAAUGACAGAAAAAUAAGAUAAAACGGAGUUACGAUGAAGAAGAUACAAGCAUUUGAACCGGUGACAUUGAAACUAAAAUUCUGGGUCUCUCUGUCGUGCAUGCUGUGGCUGUUGGAGAAGAUGAACUAAAUUUUUAUCCAGUGUUUCUCGGCUCAUGGUGCUACGGUGCAUCCUAGCACAUUUAGGUUAAUCGAGUGGUCCUAUGACUUUGGGGAUGACCACCUCUAGGUUUUUCGACGUGUAGAAUCCAUUUCUGGGGUUAGAUCUUUCAAAUUCUAAGUCUAAGAUGAUGAUCAACAACUAAAGGUUCUAAGAGAAUCCAAUGAAAGAUCAACGGUGAGAUCGUGUCCGAUUAAUGUGAAAUUUCAGCAAGACGAUCAUGGAGUCAGGACGGUCAUAUCUUACGAUCAGAAUCAUAAAUCAAAUUUGGAUGAUAAACCGUUAGCAACCUAACAUUGUCUUGGCGAGAAAAUAAUUGAAGCUGAAAUGGAGUCGACGCUAACGUAGAGCUUUGGCUUACCUGAAACCCCGAGUAGAGCCGAAUAAAUUAUAUUAUUUUAUAUAAUAGCUAUUAAGGACUUUAUAAUUUCAUUUAAUGUUGUAUUUGGAUAAUUUUAAGUUUUUAUCUAUUGUUAUUUGGACGUUUGGUUAUGUACGAGAGUUGGAUUACCCUGUUAAGAUGUCAACUUUUUAGUUUAUUAAGUCAUUUUGUUUA